rnacentral:lncRNA from 1 species
GGGGGGGUGAAUUGGGUUUUUAAUAUAAUUUGACUAAUUAAAACUUUGUGGAUGAUUAAUUAAAAACUAUAGCAAGUUAUUUAAUUAACGCCUAGUGCUGUGAGUAAUGUGCGGGGAAGAAGAUGAGAGACAAUGCACUACAAACACAAAGUUUUAUAGUGGUUCGGAGCUAACCCUUGCUCCUACGUCCACUCCCCAAGUCUCACUUGGGAAUUUCACUAUAACCCCCUUGGACUUACAGCCGGUUGUUUUGCAAGCUCACAACCA